rnacentral:ncRNA from 1 species
AAAGUCCGAUACGAUGAAGGAGUGGCGAACCACAUCGGCCCCGAGCCGUGCGUCGCUGGCCGUGAGGCCAAUGAUGAAGCGUCGGUAGGGGAUGGCAUAGGCCAACCAUCGAGCCGCGAUAGGGAUAUCCCGGGUGCCGACGCUGUAGCCAUAGCGGAAGGCAACAUGGCCGAGCGCGCCAACGCGAGUGCUCGGGCAACCCGGCGUGGUCAGAGACCC